UCGAAUUACAGCUAUAAAUCACUCUUGCAAUCCCAGAGGCUAUUCUACAUCCUUGUUUCCUUCCUAGAUUGUCCCAUCUUCCCCGUCUGAGUGAGCUUUUUUCCUUCAACGACUUGGAUUUGCUUCGGACUCUGGAGUCGAAUUUUCCCACAGACGCGUCGUGUCCGCGCCCCAUCACACAAAAUGACCUCAAUGCACCUCUCAUCACUAUGCGAUCCAAAAACAAAGUCUUUCGAGGUCCUCCAUCCGGUGUCAUAUUUUAUUUUCGACCAUCUUGCCAUCAUAGCGCCUACACUGGGACCCGAAAGAUGGUGAGCUAUGCCUGAAUAGGGCGAAGCCAGGGGAAACUCUGGUGGAGGCUCGUAUAUAGCGAUUCUGAUGUGCAAAUCGAUCGUCGAAUUUGGGCAUAGGGGCGAAAGACUAAUCGAACCAUCUAGUAGCUGGUUCCUGUCAAAGUUUCCCUCAGGAUAGCAGAAACUCGCAUCAGUUUCAUGAGGUAAACUGGACACGCCACCGACGACCUUCGGAGUAUUCUUUGCAACGACCUGUCCUACUUUGUCAAGCCAGUUUAUACACCGGUCAAGGGAGAAGUCGGCCAACUUGCUGUUAGGUGUACAGGGGGUGACCGUGCUGCGUGCGUCUCGGUCGCCGAGGGAGUAAACUUUGAGGUCGUAGUCAGCGAAGGCUAACGGGCUAGAGCCUCUGACCCGAAGGUCAUUUCUCCUUUGCCCAGACAGCGUAUGUGGUCCCCUAGUUUUCCUUUGCCCCUCCCUUGAUUUCUUUCCCUUUCUUACCUCAACUACCCGACCUGCGACCCCAGACGUUGGUUGGUCCGUGACAACCUGGCCGACGAGCUCUCAUCAACCCGGGACAAAGACCCAGAGUUUACAAGGGUCUUAUUUGUCAAUAUACAUCACAUCCUUUCCGGGACCUCACGCGGGCGAUAGAGGCUCUCUUUUAUAGACCGUGGUUCCUGGAAAGAUUUCGUAUUCUUAUCCAACUCAAAGAGGAUGUGAAGUACAUGACUUAAUCAGACUGGGAGGACGCUUUCGGCCGUCCAUUUUGGGAGGCAAUAGUCAUUGAAACAUCAAACAACGCCGUUCAGGAUUCAUCUGUGGUGGACAUUGGGAGGGAUGAAAUCGACGGCUCGACAUUUUACAUCCCUCAGGCGGAAAAAUCCAAACGAUUUGCCAAGCGAGAAGGUUGGGAAUCGCUGCUGGAGAAUGACGAGGAACGACGGCUCUUGAGCUGUAUUGGAAAGAUUGGAUAACGAUAGAAGAGGCGGAUCGUAACUUCUGGGAUGAGGAUGGAUACCAAUGCCGAAGUUCGUCAGAUAUGGAGGUUGCGACAUGAGUGCAAUGAGCCGUUAUGGGUGAAAGAGGGGUACAUUUAGACGUUUCUAAAUUAUUGUUUUGGUAUCUAGGUUUCGGUAUAAAUAAAUGUUA
rnacentral:sRNA from 1 species